rnacentral:rRNA from 1 species
AGAUUGAACGCUGGCGGUAGGCCUAACACAUGCAAGUCGAGCGCGAAAGUGCCUUCGGGUGCGAGUAGAGCGGCGGACGGGUGCGUAACGCGUAGGAAUCUGCCUGGUAGUGGGGGAUAACUCGGGGAAACUCGAGCUAAUACCGCAUACGCCCCAUGGGGGAAAGCGGGGGACCUUCGGGCCUCGCGCUAUCAGAUGAGCCUGCGUCGGAUUAGCUAGUUGGUAGGUAAUGGCCUACCAAGGCGACGAUCCGUAGCUGGUCUGAGAGGAUGAUCAGCCACACUGGGACUGAGACACGGCCCAGACUCCUACGGGAGGCAGCAGUGGGGGAAUAUUGGACAAUGGGGGCAACCUGAUCCAGCCAUACCGCGUGUGUGAAGAAGGCCUUCGGGUUG